UUUCUAGUAAGUAUAUUUUUGUAUUUUUGACUUCCAAUCAGAGGGGCCGCCUAUUGAGGCGGACUAGAAAA
rnacentral:tRNA from 1 species